rnacentral:lncRNA from 1 species
AAGGAUCACCAUAGAAACAUGAAUCUACUCUUCAUGUGUGGCGUCGUUGAUUCGGCGUGAUCAAGGCAGUUCGUGGAUUCGGAUCGUGGGUGCUUGAGAAUUCGAGUGGCGUCCGUGGAUUCGGACGUGGCUGUGACGUUUGUGGAUAUAUUCGAUCGUAGGGCGUGGACAACCUGGUGACGUGUGCGAGAUCCAUAAGUUGUUAAGAGAGGUUGAGUGCGUGGAGUCGAUAAUCACCUUAUAAUCUUUUCUCUUAAUAAAUUAUUUUUUCGCGUGUUGGUCUCGUGGGCUUAUUUCUGAAUUAGAGUUUUUUCACGUAAAUCUCGAUGUGCUAUUUUAUUUUUCGCAUUUAUUUUUAUUAUAUUGAGAUUUAUAUUUUUCGGCUAUACAGUUAUUCACUCCCUUCUAGGGGUGUGAUAAUAUCUAGAUACAUUCUAAAAUUUUCAUAA